GCGAGCUUGCCGGGAAAUAUCGCGAUUAGCGAUCUGCGCACCAACUAAAGAGAAACGCGACAAUCGUUUUGGGGGGCGAAACUCGCGCUCGCUUGACUCAACGCCCGUUUGACUUUAUUCAGAUUCUCUCACGCGCGAUGUUCUCUUACACUUCUGAAACUAAUCGAGCCUCCGAGAACGUCAGCUCGGUCAAUCUCUGGACUCGUCGCACUUGGCCUCGAGUCGGCACGCGCGCACUUGUUCGCCUCCAUAACACCUUAGUUGGUCCUGCUCGUCACCUGCCCGCAACGGCAAGUGGCUUUGGGCCGGCCCGAUGUUAUCGCCGGCCACUGGCAGGACCUCAGGCCUCAUCCAUCCUCUCGCUCGACAGCCAGUGAGUGAUGAGCGAAUCCCAUGGAUCUUGUUGUGGGGUCGGCAUCUUGUUGGGACGCAAUCGCUCCUCGUUCCUGGUCAAGGAUUGGCAUGGACCUCUCGGGCUCACAUAUAGCGUCCCAAACCACGCAGUGAGAUUGGCAUCUUGUCGUCUUGUUUGUCGCGAAUCGCUUUCCUUUGUCUAUCGAAUGGCUCUCUUGUGCUGAUUGGCUGAUGACUUUGGAGAUUUUUCGCGAAUUUGUGCUUGUGUAGCCUCAGGUGAGCCUUGACGCAACAAUUUAUACAGAAUUCAAUCAACAGGAUAAAAG
rnacentral:lncRNA from 1 species